rnacentral:ncRNA from 2 species
GCACUGGCAGAACGUUAAACCGCUUAAGUUCUUGAUAGUAGUUACCAUCAAAAGUGAUGUUAAAACUAUUAACGGUGC